CCUACGGGUGGCAGCAGUGGGGAAUAUUGCACAAUGGGGGAAACCCUGAUGCAGCGACGCCGCGUGAGUGAAGAAGUAUUUCGGUAUGUAAAGCUCUAUCAGCAGGGAAGAAAAAAAGUCCUUUGGACUUUGGACGGUACCUGACCAAGAAGCCCCGGCUAACUACGUGCCAGCAGCCGCGGUAAUACGUAGGGGGCAAGCGUUAUCCGGAUUUACUGGGUGUAAAGGGAGCGUAGACGGCUGAGCAAGUCUGGAGUGAAAUGCCGGGGCCCAACCCCGGAACUGCUUUGGAAACUGUGCAGCUGGAGUGCAGGAGAGGUAAGCGGAAUUCCUGGUGUAGCGGUGAAAUGCGUAGAUAUUAGGAGGAACACCAGUGGCGAAGGCGGCUUACUGGACUGUAACUGACGUUGAGGCUCGAAAGCGUGGGGAGCAAACAGGAUUAGAUACCCCAGUAGUC
rnacentral:rRNA from 1 species